AGAAAAUGGGUUCCUCCUUAUUGAAAAUGAAGAAAAAAUGAAGAAUCACAGGAUGAACCAAGUUGGAAAAGAUCUCUAGAAUCAUCAAGUCCAACCUAUCACCUAACCCUUCUAAUUAACUGAAACAUAGAAACAUAAUCAUACAGUCAACCAUGUUGGAAGAGAUCUCCAAGCUCAUCCAGGUCAACCUAUGACUCAGCCCUGUCCUAUCAACUAGACCAUGGCACUAAGUGCCUCAUUCAGCCUCCUCUUAAACACCUUCAGGGAUGGUGACUCCACCAUCUCCCCAGGCAGCCCAUUUCAAUGCCAAUCAGUUUUGUUAUGAAGAACUUCUUCCUAAUGUCCAGCCUAAACCUGUCCUGGCACAGCCUGAGGCUGUGUCCUCUCAUUCUGUCACCAUUUGCCUGGGAGAAGAAACCGACCCUACUUGGCUGCAACCUCCUUUCAGGAGGAAUAUGUAUCAACUACUAAGUGAUGGGACUUAACAGAGAGCUUAUGCCAGUGGGAGAAUGUUCCAGUGAUCAAAACUGACCAGCUUUUUGGCACAUUGACCUGGCACACUUGGCUGAGGAAACCUCAGAAGAGACUUUCAUCUGACCUGGUGAUCAGCUCUCUGCAAGCAAAUAAGAUUUGGGCAAACUGCUGCGGGCAGAAAAGGCAUCAAUGUGUGUGGGUGGGGGUGGGUUCUGUGUGCACUCUUAAUGUUUGGGAACUGUUUAGGUGAGUCCACUGUGGCAAA